UAAUCCAUUCAAUUGUAAUCAUACCAAUGAGUAUUUACUAUACAAUGUUUUUUGACUAGCGACUAAUAUUACAAUAGAGCUACUUACAUGCAGUGUACACGUAUGUAAUUCCUAUGGGCAGGUGGGAAAUGAAUACUCGGCGAGUAUUACUCGUAUAAGCACGGAAUGACCUUGUCGUUUGUAACACUUAAAAAGACAUUAACAAAAGUCGAUUUCAUGUACCCUUAACGCAAUGAUAUUUCUUAGCAGUCUCUUGCAACUUAUAGCAACUACUUGUUAAUCCUUUGGAAAUAGUUGUAUUUCGUAAAGAAUGAAGCACCGUUAUUACGAUCAAGAUUGGAACAAAACCGUAAAAGAAGGGCUAAAAAGAUACUUUAAUUUAAAAGAAAAUAAAGAUCUAUUCACACAGAAUGAAGAGUGGAUGGUUUAUAUGAAACAUUAACUCAAAUUGUUAACAGAGGUGAUGGUGAUGCUUUGAAAAAUAUAAUAAGGUGAAGCAUCUGCAAUGAAAUAUUUUAAGAUAUUGAUUUGCCAUUAUAAGCACGAUUGUAUUGGUAACAUUGAUUCUUUACAUAUAACCAUCAAAUGAAAAAAAUCUAUCUCAUAGCUAUUUGAAAACUAGUAAAGCUGAUACUGUUGAAUAUAUCAGGGACGAAAUUAAGAGUUUUCGUGAUAAAAUAAAGACGAAAGUACAAGAUGAAUAUAUAAAAAAAAGUAUAUACUUCAAAACAAAUUCAUAUUAAAAUAACAAAAUAUUAUUAAAUUCACUAAUAGACCGAUGAAACCUUUUAAUAAUGACAAUGUGAUAAAUGUUGUACAUAUUAGCAGUAACAGUGAAGAUAAAGCAGGAAAACAGAUA